UUUGGUCAGAUGAUCCUGUUACUCUGGCCACUCCUGUUUGGUGAGGAAGUCAGGGUCUUAUCUAGAGGGAAUCACCAACCGGCUGGGCAGAAGGAAGACCAGUGGCUUCUGAGGAGGCCUGGGUGAAGUGGCGAACUCCAGGGAGCCACAGGGAGCCAUAAAGAACAAAGAGCCAGUCCUUCUGCCUAUGGUCUAAGCCAAAAGAAUUCUCAUGGCUCCCAUGUGAUCUGGAGACUUGGAGUCAAAGCCCAUUCUGACGAUGUGGAGGCUGCCCUCUGGGUGAAUGAGGAUUGAGUGUGUUGAAGGAGUCAGUCCCAGCAAGAUCAGAAGCUGCCCUGACAGCCACAGCAAAUCUGGGACAGCAGAGGGUGCUGUGGGAGCAGGCUGAUGGUCCCUCUGGCCCUCCUUUCCCUCCAGAAGUCAUCUGAGGCCACCCCUCCCUACAUCAGACUCUCCCUCAUCCGCCCGGUCCAGCCCCUGCCUGUUUUGUUUUUGUAAUCCCACAGUGCACUUGCAUGGAAGGUACUUGCUGUGUGUUUGUCAAAUCAAUGAAUAAUAGAGAGACACAGAAAUCUC